CUUGACGACCAUAGAGCAUUGGAACCACCUGAUCCCAUCCCGAACUCAGCAGUGAAACGAUGCAUCGCCGAUGGUAGUGUGGGGUUCCCCCAUGUGAGAGUAGGUCAUCGUCAAGA
rnacentral:rRNA from 8 species